GAUGAACGCUGGCGGCGUGCCUAAUACAUGCAAGUCGAGCGAACAGACGAGAGUGCUUGCACUCUCUGACGUUAGCGGCGGACGGGUGAGUAACACGUGGGUAACCUACCUAUAAGACUGGGAUAACUUCGGGAAACCGGAGCUAGUACCGGAUAAUAUUUAGCUUCGCAUGAAGCAAUAGUGAAAGACGGUUCUGCUGUCACUUAUAGAUGGACCCGCGGUGUAUUAGCUAGUUGGUGAGGUAACGGCUCACCAAGGCAACGAUACAUAGCCGACCUGAGAGGGUGAUCGGCCACACUGGGACUGAGACACGGCCCAGACUCCUACGGGAGGCAGCAGUAGGGAAUCUUCCGCAAAGGACGAAAGUCUGACGGAGCAAUGCCGCGUGAGUGAAGAAGGUUUUCGGAUCGUAAAACUCUGUUGUAAGGGAAGAACAAGUACGUUAGUAACUGAACGUACCUUGACGGUACCUUACCAGAAAGCCACGGCUAACUACGUG
rnacentral:rRNA from 1 species